rnacentral:rRNA from 2 species
UGAUGCGAUCAUACCAGCACUAAAGCACCGGAUCCCAUCAGAACUCCGAAGUUAAGCGUGCUUGGGCGAGAGUACUACUAGGAUGGGUGACCUCCUGGGAAGUCCUCGUGUUGCAUUCC